rnacentral:rRNA from 1 species
CUAUGCGCCUUGCCAGCCCGCUCAGAAACUUAAAUGAAUUGACGGGGCCCGCACAAGCGGAGGAACAUGUGGUUUAAUUCGAUGAUACGCGAGGAACCUUACCUGGGCUUAAAUGGGGAGUGACAGCUGUCGAAAGAUGGUUUUCUUCGGACACUCUUCAAGGUGCUGCAUGGUUGUCGUCAGCUCGUGCCGUGAGGUGUCGGGUUAAGUCCCAUAACGAGCGCAACCCUUACCGUUAGUUACCAUCAGGUUAAGCUGGGGACUCUAGCGGGACUGCCACCGUAAGGUGAGAGGAAGGUGGGGAUGACGUCAAAUCAGCACGGCCCUUAUGUCCAGGGCUACACACGUGUUACAAUGGCCGGUACAAAGGGCAGCUACUUCGCGAGAAGAUGCUAAUCUCGAAAGCCGGUCUCAGUUCGGAUCGAAGUCUGCAACCCGACUUCGUGAAGCUGGAUUCGCUAGUAAUCGCGCAUCAGCCAUGGCGCGGUGAAUACGUUCCCGGGCCUU